rnacentral:rRNA from 1 species
AACGAACGCUGGCGGCAGGCCUAACACAUGCAAGUCGAGCGAAGCCUUCGGGCUUAGCGGCGGACGGGUGAGUAACGCGUGGGAACGUGCCCUUUAGUACGGAAUAGCCCCGGGAAACUGGGAGUAAUACCGUAUGUGGUCGAGAGACGAAAGAUUUAUCGCCAAAGGAUCGGCCCGCGUUGGAUUAGGUAGUUGGUGGGGUAAUGGCCUACCAAGCCGACGAUCCAUAGCUGGUUUGAGAGGAUGAUCAGCCACACUGGGACUGAGACACGGCCCAGACUCCUACGGGAGGCAGCAGUGGGGAAUCUUAGACAAUGGGGGGAAACCCUGAUCUAGCCAUGCCGCGUGAUCGAUGAAGGCCUUAGGGUUGUAAAGGUCUUUCAGUGGGGAAGAUAAUGACUGUACCCACAGAAGAAGCCCCGGCUAACUCCGUGCCAGCCGCCGCGGUAACAC